rnacentral:rRNA from 1 species
UACGUAGGUGGCAAGCGUUGUCCGGAAUUAUUGGGCGUAAAGCGCGCGCAGGCGGUCCUUUAAGUCUGAUGUGAAAGCCCACGGCUCAACCGUGGAGGGUCAUUGGAAACUGGGGGACUUGAGUGCAGAAGAGGAAAGUGGAAUUCCAAGUGUAGCGGUGAAAUGCGUAGAGAUUUGGAGGAGCACCAGUGGCGAAGGCGACUUCUGGUCUGUAACUGACGCUGAGGCGCGAAAGCGUGGGGAGCGAACGGA